rnacentral:sRNA from 1 species
AUUUUGACAAACCAAAAUACAAUUGCAAUCCCGUAAAAUAUUUAUUUUAAUUAUAUAUUUAAAUUUGCGUUGUACCGCGGUUUUUUUUUACGGGACGGAUUUGGCGAGACGGGUUUAGUAGGACGUUACUUAAUAACAAUUGUAAACUAUAAAAUAAAAAUAAAUAGAUUUAAUUUGCAAACUUUUUUAUAUACUAAUUUAAAAAAUAAGUUGUCCCCGCGGUAUACCGCGGGUUAAAAUCUAAUUCUUCAUGUUUAUGAUACGCAAAAC